UUGCCAGCAUUAUUGCAGGUACAGUCAUGUGCCGCAUAAUGACAUUCAGUCAAUGACAGACUGCAUAUAUGAGGUGGUCCUGUAAGGUGAUAAUGGAGCUGAAAAAUUCCUACUACUGAACGACAUCAUAGCCAUUGUAACAUCAUAGCACAACCAAUCACCUUUUCUAUAUUUAGGUACAACACUGAAGGCACCGCCCAUGAAAG
rnacentral:lncRNA from 1 species